rnacentral:rRNA from 1 species
GACGAAGGUGGCAAGCGUUACUCGGAAUUACUAGGCGUAAAGCGCGAGCAGGCGGUUUGGUAAGUCUGUUGUGAAAGCCUCGGGCUCAACCCGGGGAUGCCAAUGGAUACUGCCAGACUUGAAUACGGGAGAGGUCACUGGAAUUCCUGGUGUAGCGGUGAAAUGCGUAGAUAUCAGGAGGAACACCGAAGGCGAAGGCAGGUGACUGGACCGUUAUUGACGCUGAGUCGCGAAAGCCGGGGGAGCAAACAGG